rnacentral:rRNA from 1 species
AUUGAACGCUGGCGGCAGGCCUAACACAUGCAAGUCGAGCGGAUGAGUGGAGCUUGCUUCAUGAUUCAGCGGCGGACGGGUGAGUAAUGCCUAGGAAUCUGCCUGGUAGUGGGGGACAACGUUUCGAAAGGAACGCUAAUACCGCAUACGUCCUACGGGAGAAAGCAGGGGACCUUCGGGCCUUGCGCUAUCAGAUGAGCCUAGGUCGGAUUAGCUAGUAGGUGAGGUAAUGGCUCACCUAGGCGACGAUCCGUAACUGGCCUGAGAGGAUGAUCAGUCACACUGGAACUGAGACACGGUCCAGACUCCUACGGGAGGCAGCAGUGGGGAAUAUUGGACAAUGGGCGAAAGCCUGAUCCAGCCAUGCCGCGUGUGUGAAGAAGGUCUUCGGAUUGUAAAGCACUUUAAGUUGGGAGGAAGGGCAGUAAGUUAAUACCUUGCUGUUUUGACGUUACCAACAGAAUAAGCACCGGCUAACUUCGUGCCAGCCGCCGCCGUAAUAC